rnacentral:lncRNA from 1 species
AUGUAAAGUAACAUAUGCACAGGUUUCAGGGAUAAAUAUGCAGACACCUUUGAAGGACCAUUUUUCUGCCUACCACAAGCCCUGACAGUUAGUGCUCAAAAUUGUCCUCUCCAGACCUCUUCUUAUGAGGCAGCCUUUGGGUAUGAUGCAUAUCUGUACUUUAAUGCUGAUACUAUCCUAUUUUCUUUUCCUGUAAUAAAUUAUAGAUUUGUCAUUUUGGGUCCUAUUAUCUGGCAAAUGAAUUCUGUCCAUCACCAUUAGUACUGGGCUCAUGUCACUGAACCAAUACGCAAAGAGGGGGAAUAUUUUACUG